UUCCUGGUGGUCCAGUGGGUAGGACUCAGUGCUUUCACCGUUGCAGCCCAGGUUCAAUCCCUGAUCUGGGAA
rnacentral:tRNA from 1 species